rnacentral:rRNA from 1 species
GACGAACGCUGGCGGCGUGCCUAAUACAUGCAAGUAGGACGCACAGUCUAUACCGUAGCUUGCUACACCAUAGACUGUGAGUUGCGAACGGGUGAGUAACGCGUAGGUAACCUGCCUAUUAGAGGGGGAUAACUAUUGGAAACGAUAGCUAAUACCGCAUAACAGUAUGUAACACAUGUUAGAUGCUUGAAAGAUGCAAUUGCAUCGCUAGUAGAUGGACCUGCGUUGUAUUAGCUAGUAGGUAGGGUAAUGGCCUACCUAGGCGACGAUACAUAGCCGACCUGAGAGGGUGAUCGGCCACACUGGGACUGAGACACGGCCCAGACUCCUACGGGAGGCAGCAGUAGGGAAUCUUCGGCAAUGGGGGGAACCCUGACCGAGCAACGCCGCGUGAGUGAAGAAGGUUUUCGGAUCGUAAAGCUCUGUUGUUAAGGAAGAACGAGUGUGAGAAUGGAAAGUUCAUACUGUGACGGUACUUAACCAGAAAGGGACGGCUAACUACGUGCCAGCAGCCGCGGUAAUACGUAGGUCCCGAGCGUUGUCCGGAUUUAUUGGGCGUAAAGCGAGCGCAGGCGGUUAGAAAAGUCUGAAGUGAAAGGCAGUGGCUCAACCAUUGUAGGCUUUGGAAACUGUUUAACUUGAGUGCAGAAGGGGAGAGUGGAAUUCCAUGUGUAGCGGUGAAAUGCGUAGAUAUAUGGAGGAACACCGGUGGCGAAAGCGGCUCUCUGGUCUGUAACUGACGCUGAGGCUCGAAAGCGUGGGGAGCGAACAGG